GUAUGCAUCCUAAUUAUGCUAAUUGUUAUGUGGCAAUUAAUUUGGAAUCCUGGCAUUUAUGGUUUUUCCGCAUGAUUUAUAUUCGUUUAUAUGUAUCAUAACCUAACAGUUGGGACAUCAUCGAACCAUCGAUCAUAAUCUUCUCUAUUAGUCGUGCUCAUUCCUGCAAAGGCAUUAGUAAAAUGGUUUUGAAAUUCAUUUUUUAUUUCAUUUUUUCCUAGUAGCCAGGUACCUCCCUCAUCUUGAAUGGUUUUGAUAAUAUUUCUGCCUCCUCUGGUCCUAACACUCUUGUAGAAGAAAGAAGAGGUCUGAUCUCCGAAUGCAUCCCAAUUUGAUUUUGCCAUUUGUUUCCAAUACCACCACUGAAGGUCUGCCUCCUCUUGAACUUCCUGCCUGCCUUUUGCCUCUCUUUGGAUGGAGUUUUUAUCCAAGAUAUCAUUUUGAAGCUUCCUUUGAAUUUUAAACAUCUUCGAUCCCGAAUGUGCCUCCAGCCAAGAGCUUUGGAUCAAGUCAAUUACAUCUUGUUUAAGCAGACACCAAGCUUGCAGUUUAUACGGUGUUCUUCUACGUUCUGGCAUUGGGGUAAUAUCAAUAAUUAUUGGGCUAUGGUCCGAUAAAAAGAUUGGCAGAUUCCAAACCAUAGCGUUAUUUGUAUAGAUCCAAAAUAUUCACCUUACUAUGCUAGUAUAUUUUAACUAACAUUAUACUUCAGAUAUGUUUAGUUCUGAAUUAAGAGCAUGGUUGCUCUAAUCACUAAGCUAUUCUUCCUUUUCUU